rnacentral:rRNA from 1 species
AGAGUUUGAUCCUGGCUCAGGAUGAACGCUAGCUACAGGCUUAACACAUGCAAGUCGAGGGGAAACGACAUCGAAAGCUUGCUUUUGAUGGGCGUCGACCGGCGCACGGGUGAGUAACGCGUAUCCAACCUGCCCAUCACUUGGGGAUAACCUUGCGAAAGUAAGACUAAUACCCAAUGAUAUCUCUAGAAGGCAUCUGAAAGAGAUUAAAGAUUUAUCGGUGAUGGAUGGGGAUGCGUCUGAUUAGCUUGUUGGCGGGGUAACGGCCCGACCAAACGCAACGAUCAGUAGGGGUUCUGAGAGGAAGGUCCCCCGACAUUGGAACUGAGACACGGUCCAAACGUCCUACGGGAGGCA